AUUGGCUGUGUCUCAAUUCAGGGUCUGCAUCCUACCUCGGCCGGAUUCGUCGGCCGGUUACGUCACAGCGCCGCGACUCGGCCUGUCCCAAUUCGCAGACUCCUUCAAAUGCGGUCGACGAAUGCGGCCUUCUUUUCGCCUGAAUGAAGGAUGGGUCGGGUGUAUCCUUCAAUAGGUAGCAUUUCCCAAGAUGCCUUGCGGGCCGGCCGGCAGAAAAACUUAAAAACAAUGGCGGACAGUGAAGCGGGAGCUGUCGGAGAGGAUUGCGCAUAUAAAUGUAAGUAUAAACUUGAAAACUGUCAGUUUAAGGACUUUUUGUGAUACAUGAACGUUAUUUUAGUUAGAAAUGUUACAGUAAAAGUGCUUGUAUUGCGGUCUCGGCUCGUAUGUUCGGCCGCGCUCGGUGUCGUACUUCUCCCACUACGUUUCCCCCUGAUUUUAAUAGAAGUUUGUAUUUUAGGACCAAAAGAGAAAACCAGGGAAUUUAUUAAGCUUAGGGCGGAGAUGGACCACAUGAUCACCGGAGCAAAGUAUUCGGCGGCUGUGGCAUGGAGACUAUUCUGGAGAAAAUGGGCAUCCAGGGGAAGGUGCCAGCGAUGAGCUUCUGGAGCUGAUCUGGGAGGACAUGAGGCUGCAGAGCAGCAGAGAGCACAGGAGAGAAGGAAGAACUUUGACAGCUUUUUACUUUGCUAGAAAAAAAUGGUUAAUGAAGAUUAAACAUGUACAUAUAAAAGAAAUAUCUAAAUAAAAUCAGUUCUGCAUUAAA